UGCCACGUCAGUUGUUGGACUGGGGAGUGGGUUUCACCAGGUUGGAUCAAGUGGCUGUUUUCCUAGAAACUGGGCUUCUGGUUGCUAGGGCUGAUAAGGUGGGGAAAUGCUACCCCCAGGGUUCAUGGGAAAACAUUUUGACAUUGAAGAAGAGCUGGGACAUGUUAACCGUUGAGGAAAAACAGAGCAGCCCCAGCUUAGUGGCUGUGGCUACCAGCCCUGCAGGACUCUGAUUACUGACUCUAGGAUACAGCAGCCAAGAAAUCAGGUGGUGCGUGUCCCUGAGACUUCGGGGUGGAAAUACCAAAGGACACACCACCUAAUGUGGCUCUGGGGCACCCCGUCUUCUCCCAGUGUCCUCAAGAAUCCAGCCUCCACUCUAGAUGGCUGUGAGCCCUUGCAUCACAUGUGUGCAGACGGCUGCUCUUUGAAGUGACUCCAGACAUUGGACAUGCGCUGACGUGGCACCUCAAGGCCAGGGCAGAGAAGAGUUACCCAGGGCAAUUCGAAAUGAUCUGCAGCGGGACUCAGGAGGCCCCUCGGAGGCUCCUUACUGGGACAGGCAUCUGCGAGCUCUUAGUAGAGGACCAGCGAGAGCACUGAGUUCAGAAGGCAAGAUCCAGAUGCCCUUGUGGAUGGAGUCCCCACCCACCCCUACCACAGUCCUGCCCUAGAGUCAUGGGAAUAAUGCAGGGAGAAGGGAGAACAGAAAAGCAGAUGAGAAAAGGAGAGAGUCUAAAACCAGCAACCCAGUGAGACAAGGCCCUUUUGCUGAACAAUUAAGGCUAGAAGCCUGAGAACUGCACUUUCUCAACUACCUUGCCUCCAGGGCAGUACUUUCGUUUCUGCCAAUACGAUGCUCUUAUUGGAUUUGGAAGGCAGAAGAGAGACAGAAAGCGUUCUUCCCCUAGCAGUAGCAGGAGCUGCUGCUGAAGCCAGAAGACCCUGAUGGCCUCGCCCACACUAGCCCUGAUCCUGACCUCUGGAUGAAAGCAGCAGCUUCCUGACUCUCCUGGCCACACCAGCAAAUCAGAAAGCUUUGUUCUCCCAAUCUUUCCUGUUUUUUGAACACCUGUUUCCCAGUUUAAAUGCCCUUUUUGCCUCAUAUAUUGGUUUCUGCUUUCCUGAAUAAAGCUCAGUUGAUACAGAUA